CAGACUGAAGCCUCCAACAAGGGAAAGAGAAAAAUAUUUCCCCUUGCAGUGCAGUGCUUUACACCUGAAAGUGAAGUGAUGAACAAAAUGAUUGCUUUGCUGGAACAUCCCAAUGAAUCUGAAGAAUGAAUUGUGGAUUGCAUACUGCACUCUUUUGAAAGACCUGGAGUGUACUUGGAUCAAGUUUGUAGUUACACAGAUAGCUUCCAAUAUAUUUUGGGGGCGGGGGAGGGGGCGGGGUGGUGGUUAUGAAUGUAAUAUAUUCUAUAUUUGACAAAGAUCAACCCAGAACACAGUUUUUAUUUGCCACACCAAUUUAUUUUGAUUAUGAACAAAGGAAAACCCACAUACCAUAUUAUCAUGAACCAGAGUCCCCAAGUCCCACAUUUCUAGAUUAGCUUCUCUAUCCCCUGCAUCCCAUUCACCAUCCACUAAAUGUUAAAUAGAGGACUCAAGAGUCCUGUGAAUCCCAUUCACUCUGCACUCCCACCAUCAGGCAAGCAACCUCCACCUCCACUGAUGCUGAAAAUAGGGGGAUCCAAAAGGAAGAACACAUUGUUCUCUCCUAAAUGCCCUUCAAAGUUGAGCUGCUCUGAGAAAGCAGAUGAUCAUGGCAUUUUGCUUGUGUUAAAGUGCCUGAAAAUUUAUCACUGUGGCCUGAUUUCAUGGCCAAUGCACAAAAAUCUGGUGUUGCACAGCCUUUGAUGAGAUCAGCAGGAAUUGAACGGUCAUCUAGAAAAGAGAAAGAGUCAUGGUCAUAUGAGCACCUGGGUGGUAAUGGGUGUGCAUUUGUGUGUGAACUCUCAAGAGAUAUUUUAACUGUAUCAUGCAAGGAUAGAAAGCAUGUCAGAAACACAUCAUGAAAUGAAUAUGACACAGAAGGUUAAAUUUAGGGGAGAAAUCCAUUUUUUUUAAUGGGAAGGGGCCCCAAUGCUCACAAAUUUUGCAUUCAGUUCUGGGCUCCAUGGCUGCUUAGAUUUCUUCAGAAGGCUAGUUAAAAUACUAUUUUAAAAACAGUUUUCACGUAAUUUAACCAUUAUAUCAUUCAUCUCUGUCUUCUCAUACACCACCUCCAGAAACCCAUAGCUUCAUCUAUAUACAUUGAUCACAAAGGGGAUUUUGACAUAGUAAUAUUUUCACAGGAGGGGAGAAGCUUCCCAACCUCCAGUAUACACACAGGAGGUUGGCCCAGCACUCCUCUGUCUUUCGUCAUACACCCAACCUGCAUAACCUUUGAGUGUCCCAAUCUGCCACAGACAGCCCCAGAAUUACAGAAGCUAUCUCGCUUUCUGAUUUGAUCCCAGAAUGCCCCAGUUUUCCUUUUUCCUCCACUCUGCAUAUCAGACAAUAAUUAAAAGAGCUCUCUCUAUGUGGGUGGGUGGGUCUAAGUGCAGAAAUGGAGUCCUGUUUAUACUGAAUAUAUAAUACCUGCACCAAAUGAAGAAAAUGGUGAAGUUGGCAUUCAAAGCCCUUCCUAUCAUUUUGAAGGAAAAUGUCACCAAUCUACUUUAGAUUCUUCAACAGCCAGCCACUUUUUAGGAAAAGCAUGGGUGUUUAUUCCUUUAUUUUAAAUGGAGCCUUACAUUGUCUAUUAAGAAAUAAGGCCCGCUGUAUUCAAUGGAGCUUACUCCCACGUAAAUGGGUAAAGAUUGGGCAGUCUUACACUGCAACCCUAAGAAUUUUUACUCAAAUGUAAGUCCCACUUGGUUCAAUAGGAUUUACUCUCUGGUAUGUUUCUGAUCAUUCUCACAGUUUCUAUUAUUAUUUAUUAUUAUUACUAUCAUCAUCAUCAUUAUCAUCCAACUUUUUCUCUGACAGGGGCUCAAGGCAGCUUACAUUUAAAAUCUCAUUUGAUUCCAUUUGUCUGUGGAAGGUGUACAUUCUCCUUUUCCUUGCACAUCUUUACAACUAUCCUGUGAGGUAGGUUAGACUGAGAGGUUCUAAUCGGUUAAAGUCUUAAGGUGAUAGAUGUAUAUUUGUAAUGACAUAUUUGUGUGCAGCGAGAUCAAACAUGGGAGAAGAUUCCUGAUGUAGAAUAGAACAUCCCUGUUUUCAUCUGAGAAAUGUGAGAGAGUAUGAACCAGGCAAGCCAUUCCAUCCCUCCUACUCAUUGACUGGCAGUGCUACUCACCGUGAACAAAAACAAGCUCUAUACACUGAGUCUCAUCAGUAUAACACUUGGUGGUGUUUGAGCCAUUGCAAAGUCCUGAGUCAGAAGCACAAAAGUUUGGGCACUUCAGUUGAUUCCAGGCACGACUCGGCCCUGCCAAAAGCAACCAAUAAAUUAACACAUUUAUUGGGUUUCACAGUUGCACCUGAGAUGAGUAGACAAGCAGGAGUAUUUUGCAGUGGGAAAGUUGUGGAGUUUAUUGCUGGGUUGUCAAUGUGCUAUUGCUGCUUUUUGUGCAUUGCUGUUUGUGCAUUAUUUUCCAUUAAGCACCUUGUGUUAUUAUGCAUUACUUAUUACAGAGAGCUAUAUUUAUGUGUAUAAUGUUAUGUAAAUAUAAUAUGUUGUUUACUUUGUUACUGUGCUGUAAACUGUCCUGUGAUUAAGG